UGGUAGUGUAUUGGACAACCAUGGCUUUAACGGGUAACGGAGGAUUAGGGUUCGAUUCCGGAGAGGGAGCCUGAGAAACGGCUACCACAUCUAAGGAAGGCAGCAGGCGCGUAAAUUACCCAAUCCUGAUUCAGGGAGGUAGUGACAAGAAAUAACAGACCGAAGCUUUUGUUUCGGGAUUGAAAUGAAUAGAAUUUAAACCCCUUUAUGAGGAUCCAUUGGAGGGCAAGUCUGGUGCCAGCAGCCGCGGUAAUUCCAGCUCCAAUAGCGUAUAUUAAAGUUGUUGCAGUUAAAAAGCUCGUAGUUGGAUUUCUGGUAGGUCUCCAAUGUCCGCUUGUUCGCGAGUGCAGCGGAGACCUGCCAUCCUUCUGUUAACGAUACUUGGUAUUCAGUUACUGGUAUCGGGCUCAGAUAUUUUACCUUGAGAAAAUUAGAGUGUUUCAGGCAGGCUCGCGCCGGAAUACAUUAGCAUGGAAUAAUAGAAUAGGACUUUUGUCUCCUUUGUUGGUUUGAGGGACGGAAGUAAUGAUUAAUAGGGAUAGUUGGGGGCAUUAGUAUUUAAUUGUCAGAGGUGAAAUUCUCGGAUUUGUUAAAGACU
rnacentral:rRNA from 1 species